CCCUUAGAUGUUCUGGGCCGCACACGCGCUACACUGAAGGAGGCAGCGUGUACUCCUGGAUCGAAAGAUUUGGGUAACCCGCGAAUCUCCUUCGUGCUAGGGAUUGAGGUUUGCAAUUAUCCUUCAUGAACGAGGAAUUCCCAGUAAGUGCAAGUCAUAAGCUUGCGCUGACUACGUCCCUGCCCUUUGUACACACCGCCCGUCGCUACUACCGAUUGAAUGAUUUAGUGAGGACUUCGGACUGGAACCGAUGCGGCUUUCGGGCUGCGUCGGUAUUCUGGAAAGAUGUCCAAACUGUAUCAUUUAGAGGAAGUAAAAGUCGUAACA
rnacentral:rRNA from 1 species